AUUUAGAUGAUGUGAAAGGAGUACUGACAUAUGUGGCAUGAUUCACAUAAACCGCAACAAAAACAAUCCUCUAAAUUAGGUCCUGCUGA
rnacentral:snoRNA from 1 species